GAUGAACGCUGGCGGCGUGCUUAACACAUGCAAGUCGAACGGAAAGGCUCCUGCUUGCAGGGGUACUCGAGUGGCGAACGGGUGAGUAACACGUGGGUGAUCUGCCCUGCACUUCGGGAUAAGCCUGGGAAACUGGGUCUAAUACCGGAUAGGACGAUGGGUUGGAUGCCAUUGUGGAAAGUUUUUCGGUGUGGGAUGAGCUCGCGGCCUAUCAGCUUGUUGGUGGGGUAAUGGCCUACCAAGGCGUCGACGGGUAGCCGGCCUGAGAGGGUGUACGGCCACAUUGGGACUGAGAUACGGCCCAGACUCCUACGGUAGGCAGCAGUGGGGAAUAUUGCACAAUGGGCGCAAGCCUGAUGCAGCGACGCCGCGUGGGGGAUGACGGCCUUCGGGUUGUAAACUCCUUUCGCUAGGGACGAAGCGCAAGUGACGGUACCUGGAGAAGAAGCACCGGCUAACUACGUG
rnacentral:rRNA from 1 species